AACGGAAUUUGGUGACUUAUGAGAAGGAAUCGUUUUGGACGUUUUGAAUGAUUUUGCUGACUUUUUAAGGGCUCCCCCCCUAGUUAGCGAUGUGCUUUUCUAACUUUUGAUGCGCAUCUGUAUGUUUCAAUGGUGUGGAGAGACGGAUGCAACUGCGCGUUUGAAUGAGCAAAGCUUUUUCUGAUGCAUUUUGAGAAUUUUUCAAAGUUGGAACUAUUUUAUGCUGGUGUUGUAGCUCAUCGUUAAGUUUUCCCCCUCGUCCUACCUGUAGUUUUUUUGUUUUUGUUUUUUGCGCUUGGGACUUAAUUGUCUGGAUGUAACAAGACGCGGAUACAUUUUUAGAUUUUCAUAUAGCAUACGCAUUAGUUUAUUUUGUUGUUUUUGUUUUUUUCCCCCUAUUGUUAUUGGGCUGCUCUCAGCCUCAGAGGAUUUAUGAUGCGGUGGGUGAAGUAUUGGGGGACAGUGGCUGUGCUGUGCGGGCUGCUGUGCUGUGCUGUGAAUGGAUGCCCGCAUAAGUGCAGUUGUUCGGGCUCUCAUGUGGAUUGUCAGGGUCUAGGCUUCAGGACGGUGCCCAGGGGAAUCCCGAGGAAUGCCGAGAGACUGGAUCUGGACCGGAAUAACAUCACCCGGAUCACCAAAGUGGACUUCUCUGGCCUCAAGAACCUACGCGUGCUACAUCUGGAGAACAAUCAAAUAAGUGUGAUCGAAAGAGGAGCAUUUCAGGAUCUCAAACAGCUUGAGAGAAUCCGCCUGAACCGCAACCGGCUCCAGGUCCUGCCGGAGCUGCUGUUCCAAUCCACACCCAAGUUGGGCCGCCUGGACCUGAGCGAGAAUCAGAUUCAGGCUAUUCCUCGUAAGGCUUUCCGAGGGAUCACCACCGUCAAGAACCUGCAACUGGACAGCAACCACAUCAGCUGCAUCGAAGAUGGAGCCUUCCGAGCCCUGCGCGAUUUGGAGAUACUCACUCUCAACAACAACAACAUCACCCUCAUCCCGCUGUCAAGCUUCAACCACAUGCCCAAGCUGCGGACACUUCGCCUGCACUCCAACAUCCUGCACUGCGACUGCCACCUGUCCUGGCUCUCCGAUUGGCUGCGGCAGAGAAGAGGGCUGGCCCCUUUCACACAGUGCAUGGCCCCCGCCCAUAUGAGAGGUCUCAAUGUUCCUGAUGUUCAAAAGAGAGAAUUUGUCUGCACAGGUCCUGCUCAGACGGAGCCAAGGUCAUGCGCUCCCCAGGCGUCCAUCUGCCCCGCCGCCUGCACCUGCAACAGCAACAUCGUAGACUGCCGUAAAAAAGGCCUGAUGGAGAUUCCUGCCAACCUGCCUGAGGGAAUUAUAGAAAUCCGUCUGGAGCAGAACAUGAUCAAGAGCAUCCCAGCAGGAGCGUUUUCCAUGUACAAGAAACUGAAGAGAAUAGACCUGAGCAAGAAUCAGAUAUCUGAGAUUGCGGAAGAUGCGUUUAGUGGCCUGCGCUCGCUCACUUCACUGGUCCUGUAUGGAAAUAAAAUCGCAGAGAUCCCAAAGGGACUGUUUGAUGGCCUGGUCUCCCUGCAGCUGCUACUGUUGAAUGCCAACAAGAUCAACUGUCUCCGAGUUAACACUUUCAAAGACCUGCAGAACCUCAACCUGCUGUCCCUCUACGACAACAAGCUUCAGACCAUCAGCAAAGGCCUUUUCACCCCUCUGCGCGCCAUCAAAACACUACACCUCGCUCAGAAUCCCUUCAUGUGUGACUGUCAUCUGAAGUGGCUGGCAGACUACCUGUUUGACAAUCCAAUUGAGACCAGCGGAGCUCGAUGCAGCCAUCCGCGGCGCCUUGCCAACAAACGCAUAAGUCAGGUCAAGGGCAAGAAGUUCCGCUGCACAGGUGCAGAGGAGUACCGCAGUCGUCUCAGCGGCGAGUGUUUCCAGGACCUGGUUUGUCCCGAGCGCUGUCGGUGUGAGGGAACAGUGGUGGACUGCUCCAACCUCAAACUCACCAAAACACCCCCUCACCUGCCGGAGCACACCACCGACCUACGGCUGAACGACAAUGAAAUCUCCGUCCUAGAGGCUACAGGGGCCUUCAAGAAGCUGCCAAACCUGCGCAAGAUAAACUUAAGUAAUAAUAAACUCCGGGACAUCCGUGAGGGGGCGUUUGAUGGGGCCGGAGGUGUUUUGGAGCUGCUGUUGACCGGAAACAAGCUGCAGUCAGUCAGCGGACGGAUGUUCAAGGGUUUGAGCGGCCUCAAAACGCUGAUGCUGAGGAGUAAUCAGAUCAGCUGUGUGGAUAACGCCACCUUCACCGGCCUGAGCUCCGUUCGCCUGCUUUCCCUCUACGAUAACCGGAUCUCCACUAUCGCCCCGGGAGCUUUCAACACCCUGCAUUCCCUCUCCACCAUUAACCUGCUGUCUAAUCCCUACGUGUGUGACUGUCACUUAGCCUGGCUGGGACUGUGGCUUAAGAAGACCAGGGUGGUUAGUGGCAACCCACGCUGCCAGAAACCUGCCUUCCUGAAGGAGAUCCCCAUACAAGAUGUAGCCAUGCCUGAUUUCUCCUGCGACGGUAUGGAAGAGAAUGUCUGUCUGCCGUCGGCCCCUCGCUGUCCCGAUUCUUGCUCAUGCUCGGACACAGUGGUGCGCUGUAGUAACCGGGGGCUGCGUUCGCUGCCUAAGGGUAUCCCUAAAGAUACAACUGAAGUAUACUUGGAAGGAAACCUUCUCACCUCCGUGCCCAAAGAGCUUGCUAGUCUGAAACAACUGACACUGCUAGACCUCAGUAAUAACAGCAUCAGUCUUCUUGCCCCUCUUACCUUCAGCAACAUGACGCAGCUUGCCACCCUUAUCCUGAGCUAUAAUCAAAUUCGCUGUGUCCCGGUUCAUGCAUUUGAUGGCUUGCGUUCUCUCCGCCUGCUAACCCUCCACGGAAAUGACCUUUCAACUAUUCCUGAGGGAGCCUUCAGCCACUUGACAUCUCUGUCUCAUCUGGCUCUGGGUGCAAACCCCCUGUACUGUGACUGCGAGCUGCGCUGGUUGUCUCAGUGGGUGAAGGCUGGGUUUAAAGAGCCUGGCAUCGCCCGCUGCACUGGACCACCCGGCAUGGCAGACCGCCUGCUGCUUACCACCCCUCUCAGUCAAUUCCAGUGCAAGGGUCCAGCAGAUUUGAAUCUGAUGUCCAAGUGCGCCCCCUGUCGGGCGAGUCCCUGUCAGAACAACGGCACAUGUGUGAGUGAUGUCACAGGCUCCUACCACUGCACCUGCCCUUUUGGCUACAAGGGUCGUAACUGUGAGAUCCCCAUUAACGCCUGCAUCAGCCUGCCGUGUGUUAAUGGAGGCACGUGCCACCUCACACCUGGACUGGACGGGCACUACAGCUGUGUGUGUCCGCCUGGGUACGAGGGCCAACAGUGUGAGCUGAAUCCUGAUGACUGUGAAGACAACGACUGUGAGAAUAACUCCACCUGUGUGGACGGCAUCAACAACUACACCUGCAUCUGCCCUCCGAACUACAGAGGGGAUCUGUGUGAGGAGGUUAUUGACCCCUGUCUGCCCGGGUUUGACCUCUGCCAACACGACUCCAAGUGUGUUCUCCUCAGUAAGGGCUACAGGUGUGAAUGUUUGCCGGGGUAUGUUGGCCAGCACUGUGAGCAGGAUUACAAUGACUGUCUGGAGAACAAAUGCCAGCAUGGAGCAGAGUGUAAUGACGCCAUCAAUGGAUACACGUGUGUGUGCAAGGAGGGGUUCAGUGGGCUGUUCUGUGAGACACCUCCACCAAUGAUAUUACUCCAGAAGACAAGUCCAUGUGAUCAGUCUUACUGUCAGAAUGGAGCGCAGUGUCUGGUCGUGGAGGGAGAGCCUGUGUGCCGGUGUCCACCUGGCUCCAAGUGUCACAAAAUGGUCACAGUGCACUUCCUUGGCAAAGAUACCUAUCUGGAGCUCUCAGGUGUCAAGAUCCGACCACCCAUGCACAUAUCCCUCCAGGUAGCCACAGAUAAGGACAAUGGCAUUCUGUUUUAUAAGGAGGACCAUGACCCACUCGCCCUAGAGCUGUACCAGGGACACAUACGUUUGAUCUAUGAUGUUGCCAAGUACCCCCCAACCACAGUGUACAGUGUGGAGUCAGUGAAUGAUGGUCUUUUCCACACGGUGGAGGUGUUGAUCCAGAAUCAGACCCUAAGUUUGGUGGUGGAUAAAGGGGCACCGAAAAGCCUGGGCAAACUCCCCCGCCCUCCUGCUGUGGACCACAACACACAGCUCUACAUAGGCGGUGUGCCCUCUCUGAUUGACACAGCAGGCCUGCGACCGGAUCCAGACCGUCCACUCCAGUCCUUUAAUGGCUGCAUUCAUGACGUACGGCUCAACGGGGAACUCCAAGACCUCGGCAGUGGAGUGGCAGGGGUAGAGGGCAUUCUGCCGGGCUGUCACUCCUGCAGCGUUUGUGCUCACGGGGCCUGCAGACAGAGAGGAGAGGCAGGCGUGACCUGCGAGUGUCCCACCGGCCACAGCGGCCCACUGUGUGAAGAGACCACCUCCCAGAGCCCCUGUCAGAACAGCAGGUGUGUGCAUGGUGUGUGUGUGCUGAAGGGCUCCUCGUACAGCUGCUCAUGUGCAGAUGGAUACUCUGGCCAGUUUUGUGACAGGCGGCAAGAGUCCGCCGUCUGCAAGGGGCUGCACUGCAUACACGGAGAGUGCAGGGUGACGGAGAGCGGAGAGCCGUUUUGCCACUGCCAGCCUGGAUACAGCGGGCCGACCUGUGAAAUAGAGCCGACGUGCCAAGGAGAGAUGGUCCGUGAGCUGCUCAAGCGUAAUAUGGGUCAUAAAAACUGCACCUCCACCAAUAAAAUCGCUCGGUGUCCAAGCACCUGCCGCUCGGGCCUGUGCUGCGCCCCCACCAAGAGCCGGAGACGGAAGGUCAGCUUCAAGUGCUCCGACGGAUCCUCCUUUUCUGAGGAGAUGGAGACCACCGUGGAGUGCAGCUGCACAAAGUGCCCAUUGUAAUAUUGUGCCCCCCCGUCCCAAACCUGGAGAAGAAGAUGGAGUGGAAAAGAAAAUAUAUUGUAAAAAUAGAACUUAUUUUUAUUAAGGGAUGUUUUUUUAAAGAAAGAGACUGUUUUUAUGAUGUUGCUUAUAUGUGUCAUAUGAAAAGUAAUUCUGUAUCGUCGAACAAAAACACGCAGAUUAACAUUCCUGAAAAUAUAUGAAUUAUAUAAAUAUGUAUAAAUCUAUAUAAAUGUACAACCUAACCUAAGAAUUAAUUUUUGGUCUGUGUAUUGCAUGUCUGUUGUGAAGUGUGUGAGCGGAGAGAAAUUUUAAUGGAGGAGCUGAAAUGUGCCCGUGUAGCCGAUCAGGCAAGGACUCUCUAACACAGGAAGUGGUGAGCCAACUUCCUGUGCUCUGGUGGCGGCAAAUUAAUGAACUGCUUCCUAACGGACCUCACCUGCAAGACUUCAAGGACAGAGCUUCGAGUGGGAUGGGCUGAUAUUUUGUACUUUGGAUGUUGUUUCUUUCGGCGUGGCUCUGGUUUACAAGCUGCAACUCAUCGGAGGGAAUUUUUUGCAUGACUGCAUGGAAGAGUUAAAUGUGAACUUGUAACAUGCUGCGGUCAGACAGUAAAGCUAUUGUAGUAACUAUGAUAGUUAAACGCUCUCUGCCUGUUUUACCUUGUACAGUUGAAAUCCAAAUGCGUCGGCAGGUGAUACAGGUGACUGCGUCUCUGGUGCAAAGCACUUCAUACCGACGUAGUAUUCCGUCAUAACCGUCCUUUACUAAAAUAUUAAAUGCAAAUAUAUUUCACCCAUUACUACUGUAUUGUUUCAUAUGUACCCUUUUUUGUUUUUAAUUUUUCAGAUGUAACACUCAGUGUCUUACUCAAAGAGAGCGAGGACUAUAGAUAUAUUCCCAAGAAAAAGCUAAUCAGUGUUAAUGAACAUUCCUCCUCGUUCUGUCUCACCCCUGUUCACCACAUACUGUUGUAUAAGGUACAAGCGGAUGUAGGAAUCACCAGUAAACGAUGUAACUGAGCUUGUGCAGGAAGUGUCUUGUUAGCACCUCUAAUCAGAAGACUGGUUGCAUUUUCUAAUGUUUUGUUAAAUAUGAAUUAGAGAGUGAUGAUUAACUUACAGUGAAUGUUGAAUUAAACUUGU